GACGAACGCUGGCGGCGUGCCUAACACAUGCAAGUCGAACGGAAAGGCCCUGCUUUUGUGGUGUGCUCGAGUGGCGAACGGGUGUGUAACACGGGAGUAACCUGCCCUUGACUUUGGGAUAACUUCAGGAAACUGGGGCUAAUACCUGAUAGGAGCUCCUGCUGCAUGGUGGGGGUUGGAAAGUUUCGGCGGUUGGGGAUGGACUCGCGGCUUAUCAGCUUGUUGGUGGGGUAGUGGCUUACCAAGGCUUCGACGGGUAGCCGGCCUGAGAGGGUGACCGGCGACAAUGGGCCUGAGAUACGGCGCAGACUGCAACGGGGGGCAGCAGUGGGGAGUAUUGCACAAUGGGCGGGAGCCUGAUGCAGCAACGCCGGGUGCGGAAUGACGGCCUUCGGGUUGUAAACCGCUUUAGCCUGUGACGAAGCGUGAGUGACGGUAAUGGGUAAAGAAGCACCGGCUAACUACGUG
rnacentral:rRNA from 1 species